AUCCAGAUGACGAGUCCCAAAUAGAGCGAAAUGCGUAUUCUGGAU
rnacentral:hammerhead_ribozyme from 1 species